rnacentral:lncRNA from 1 species
UCGGGUGUAUUUUGACAGUGUUUCAGUGUUCGUUUUUCUUUAAUGGUUUUAUUCCUCUUAUGAAAUACAAAGAAAAUAUGACAAAACUUGUAUAUUGCUACAUGUACAUGGAUUGAAUAGCAAUGAAUGAAUGCCCAGAUUCUAUCAAUAUUACAUUAAAUCUGUUAUUACUACUACAUGUUAUCUAAAUCCACCUCUUUUGCUGCAGUAACUUCAGAUGGGAAAGAAAUGGUGGCAGCAGACGACAAAAUUUCUUUAUUUCGUUUUAAAUUUUCUACUUUAAGGAUGUUUUGGCAUAUGAAAAUAUACAGAGCGAAGGUGCAGAACAAAAUUUUGCUUACACAAUGGUUAUACACGGAAACAUCAUUCAGCCAGAUCCGAAUAUGUUCACAAAAUAGAGGUGAGCAAAUGGUACAAGACGUUGGCUUUUGACAAAUUGAUAUACACGUGAUCAUCGUUCUGCUAGAUCGGAAUGUUUUCACAAAAUAGAGAUGUGAAAAUGGUACUAGAUGUUAGCUUCCGACACAGAGGACACACACGAGACUAUCGUUCAACAAAGUCAGAAUAUUUUCGUAAAAUAGAGAUUAAAGUUGCAGGCGAAAGUAAAGUAACAGAUGAAAGUAACAGAUUAAAGUUGCAGAUGAAAUCUGCAGAUGAAAGUGACAGAUCCUGAAAGUAAAAAGGUGUGUACAUGUAUAUUUCUAUAUUUACUUUGACUAAUACUGUUGGGUUCCCUUUGCAAUUGAUGCGUGAAAAUUGUUUUACAGACCAGCCGACCUACAGAUACAAGUAGCGUUGGACAGGAGAGUGUGAGGCAAUUCGAAUUGUGAUUGCCCUUCGGAAAACAAUUAAAACCAAAGUAUAUGCAUCAAGUAUUUGUUAUUGAUUGCAUCUCUUAAAUUUCAGAUGUAAACCAUUACCCGAAGUUAUAGAUGGAUACAGUAAUUCUUUGUAUCAAUCGGAUGAAAAUCACAGCUUUGCAAUUACAGAUGAAGGCAGAAGCUCUUCGCUACAGAUGAAUAGCGUAGCUCUUCGCUACAGAUGAAGGCGGUAGCUCUUCGCUACAGAUGAAUAACGUAGCACCGCUGGGCUGAAGUUGCUUGCCCCUCGCCUUUGUGGGUUCCAAACCAUACCCUUUUUGACUCUUUAGACUCUAAACACAGUAAACAUCUUUACAGAUUAAAUUAUACCUCUUAGGUAUAAAUGAAAAUCAGACAUUUUUUUCAGUUAAGGUAAAUUCAUCCCUCUUGCCUCAAUUUUACUGCAAGAACGCGAUCAUUAGUAGCUUGUUUGAAAUACAUGUAUGUUGCUAUUUGCGGUUAUUUUUUGUUGUUGAUUUGUCAGUUUUCGUUCAAACGGACUGUAUGUAAAUGUUUUGUAUCGGUGUUUGAUAUUCAGUUAUAUUUUACAGUGUUUCAUGCACUCUUUGGACUUGUUUUCUUUCAUUUCGUGGUGUUUUGUUGUUUUUUUGGUGUUAUUGUUUUGUCAGUUUUUGUUUCUGCGGUUUGUAUGUGUUCUGUAUCGGUGUUCAAAGUUGUUUACUCGAGAGUAUUUGAACAGUGUUUCAAUCACUAUUUGGGCUUGUGUUUUUUCGUUUUGUUUCUUGCGGAUGUUUUGAUCAUCUCUGUUACUAUUUAAUGUUAUUAAAAUCAAUCUGUUUUGCCGUAGUAACUUAAUUUAAUAAUGUUUGACUGCAGGUGCGAAAAAAUAGUGGCACCAGACGACAAUAUGAAACGAGAAACAACUCUUUUUAUAUUUUUCGUUUUAAUAUUUUCUUCUUUUAGGAUGUUUUAGCUCGUGAGGAUAUAAAGACAAAGGUACAGUAGAA